rnacentral:rRNA from 1 species
UACAGAGGUGUCAAACGUUGUCCGGAAUUACUGGGCGUAAAGGGCGCGUAGGCGGUCUUAUAAGUCAGAUGUGAAAGCUCUGGGCUCAACCCAGGAAUUGCAUCUGAUACUGUAAGACUUGAGUUCGGUAGAGGAGGGCGGAAUUCCAGGUGUAGCGGUGAAAUGCGUAGAUAUCUGGAGGAACACCCGUGGCGAAGGCGGCUCUCUGGUCCGAAACUGACGCUGAGGUGCGAAAGCUAGGGUAGCAAACAGG